AACGAACGCUGGCGGCAUGCCUAACACAUGCAAGUCGAACGAGACCUUCGGGUCUAGUGGCGCACGGGUGCGUAACGCGUGGGAACCUGCCCUUAGGUUCGGAAUAACUCCCCGAAAGGGGUGCUAAUACCGGAUAAUGUCUUCGGACCAAAGAUUUAUCGCCUUUGGAUGGGCCCGCGUUGGAUUAGCUAGUUGGUAGGGUAAAAGCCUACCAAGGCGACGAUCCAUAGCUGGUCUGAGAGGAUGAUCAGCCACACUGGGACUGACACCCGGCCCAGACUCCUACGGGAGGCAGCAGUGGGGAAUAUUGGACAAUGGGCGAAAGCCUGAUCCAGCAAUGCCGCGUGAGUGAUGAAGGCCUUAGGGUUGUAAAGCUCUUUUACCCGGGAUGAUAAUGACAGUACCGGGAGAAUAAGCUCCGGCUAACUCCGUG
rnacentral:rRNA from 1 species